UACGUAGGUGGCAAGCGUUGUCCGGAUUUACUGGGCGUAAAGAGCGCGCAGGCGGUCGUUCAAGUCGCGUGUGAAAGCCCCCGGCUCAACUGGGGAGGGUCACGCGAUACUGAUCGACUCGAAGGCAGGAGAGGGUAGUGGAAUUCCCGGUGUAGUGGUGAAAUGCGUAGAUAUCGGGAGGAAUACCGGUGGCGAAGGCGGCAUCCUGGACCGAGAUUGACACUGAUGAGCGAAAGCCAGGGGAGCAAACGGG
rnacentral:rRNA from 1 species